ACCUAACCAGGUUCACUCCUGACGACCGGUCAUCGCGACUUUUCCGAAGCUCCAAGCUUGUCGACUCCAGCAAAGCCCCAACCUUCUCAACUCCGCCAAAGCCCUAGGCUUCUCGCGUGCGCGUUCCUCAAUUUUGCCACGUUCUCGUCUCCCUUACACUCGAAGAGUCGUCGGGGCUUCGCCAAAGCCCUAACAUUCAGCAUUUUUCUUCGUGCCUGUGAAAGGUUCCUGAUUGAAUUGUGAUCAGCCGAAGCUAUUCUCUUAGCAGCUUAUCCUUUGAGUUGAGCUUUGGGGAUUCAAGAGAUGUAGUAUAGUAAAUUGUAGCUUGAUUUCUAUAAUUACUUGGUGAGAUGAGAUUUCUAUAAUGUAAGAUGAGAUUUAUUGAUGCCAUUUAAUCUUGCAUCAAAUGGAUUACAAAUGUGUAGAAUGUACAGAAUGGUGCUACUCUUUGUUACAUUCUUAACUAUAUAUCUCUGCAUUAAGUUGCACUCA